rnacentral:rRNA from 2 species
CGCACGAAGGGUUUCGGCCUUAGUGGCGGACGGGUGAGUAACGCGUAGGUAUCUAUCCAUGGGUGGGGGAUAACACUGGGAAACUGGUGCUAAUACCGCAUGACACCUGAGGGUCAAAGGCGUAAGUCGCCUGUGGAGGAGCCUGCGUUUGAUUAGCUAGUUGGUGGGGUAAAGGCCUACCAAGGCGAUGAUCAAUAGCUGGUUUGAGAGGAUGAUCAGCCACACUGGGACUGAGACACGGCCCAGACUCCUACGGGAGGCAGCAGUGGGGAAUAUUGGACAAUGGGGGCAACCCUGAUCCAGCAAUGCCGCGUGUGUGAAGAAGGUCUUCGGAUUGUAAAGCACUUUCGACGGGGACGAUGAUGACGGUACCCGUAGAAGAAGCCCCGGCUAACUUCGUGCCAGCAGCCGCGGUAAUACGAAGGGGGCUAGCGUUGCUCGGAAUGACUGGGCGUAAAGGGCGUGUAGGCGGUUUGUACAGUCAGAUGUGAAAUCCCCGGGCUUAACCUGGGAGCUGCAUUUGAUACGUGCAGACUAGAGUGUGAGAGAGGGUUGUGGAAUUCCCAGUGUAGAGGUGAAAUUCGUAGAUAUUGGGAAGAACACCGGUGGCGAAGGCGGCAACCUGGCUCAUUACUGACGCUGAGGCGCGAAAGCGUGGGGAGCAAACAGGAUUAGAUACCCUGGUAGUCCACGCUGUAAACGAUGUGUGCUAGAUGUUGGGUGACUUAGUCAUUCAGUGUCGCAGUUAACGCGUUAAGCACACCGCCUGGGGAGUACGGCCGCAAGGUUGAAACUCAAA